UGGCUCAGGAUGAACGCUAGCUACAGGCCUAACACAUGCAAGUCGAGGGGCAGCAGGACGAUAGCUUGCUAUUGUCGCUGGCGACCGGCGCACGGGUGAGUAACGCGUAUCCAACCUUCCCCUUAGUAGAGGAUAGCCCGGCGAAAGUCGGAUUAAUACUCUAUGUUGUAUUUUGAGGACAUCUGACGAAUACCAAAGAUUCAUCGCUAAGGGAUGGGGAUGCGUCUGAUUAGCUUGUUGGCGGGGUAACGGCCCACCAAGGCGACGAUCAGUAGGGGUUCUGAGAGGAAGGUCCCCCACAUUGGUACUGAGACACGGACCAAACUCCUACGGGAGGCAGCAGUGAGGAAUAUUGGUCAAUGGGCGAGAGCCUGAACCAGCCAAGUAGCGUGCAAGGAAGACUGCCCUAUGGGUUGUAAACUGCUUUUAUCAGGGAAUAAAGUUCGGCACGUGUGCUGUUUUGUAUGUACCUGAUGAAUAAGGACCGGCUAAUUCCGUGCCAGCAGCCGC
rnacentral:rRNA from 1 species